rnacentral:rRNA from 1 species
AUGACCGCCUCCAAAGUAGCCCAUGAAGAUACAUUCACAAUGAAGAAGUGCCACCUGGAUCAUAGUUGUGGAGCUGGUGGAGAGAGUACCAAGGUGACUGCGGAGUGGGUUGCAGAAUCUAUGGAGGACACAAUUAGAUCAAAUGUAAAGGCUGAUGUAGAGACAAUUCUAAAACAUACUAAGAAGAAGUUUAGGGUGCAUGUACCUAGGAGUUUGGCAUAUAGGGCAAGACUGACGGCUGUUGAUGUUGUGUAA